GACAGCAGUCGCCGCGGGAAUACAGAGGGUGCGAGCGUUAAUCGGAUUUACUGGGCGUAAAGCGUGCGUAGGCGGCUUCUUAAGUCGGAUGUGAAAUCCCUGAGCUUAACUUAGGAAUUGCAUUCGAUACUGGGAAGCUAGAGUAUGGGAGAGGAUGGUAGAAUUCCAGGUGUAGCGGUGAAAUGCGUAGAGAUCUGGAGGAAUACCGAUGGCGAAGGCAGCCAUCUGGCCUAAUACUGACGCUCAUGCACGAAAGCGUGGGGAGCAAACAGGAUUAGAUACCCCUGUAGUCCCUGUCUCUUAUAC
rnacentral:rRNA from 1 species